ensembl:lncRNA
GUAUAGUCAAAGCUAUGGUUCUUCCAGUAGUAAUGUACGUAUGUGAGAGUUGGACCAUAAGGAAAGCUGAGCAUCAAAGAAUUAAUGCUUUUGAACUGUGAUGUUGGAGAAAACUUGAGAGUCCCUUGGACUGCAAGGAAAUAAACCAGUCAAAUCUAAAGGAAAUCAGUCCUGACUAUUCCUUGGAAGGACUGAUGCUGAAGCUGAAACUCCCAGUACUUUGGCCACCUGAUGUGAAGAGCCUACUCUUUGUUAAAGACCCUGAUGCUAGGAAAGAUUGAAGGCAGGAGGAGAAGGAGAAGACAGAGGAUGAGAUGGUUGAAUCACAUCACCAACUCAAUGCGUCUUCUAAAGAAGAUUGAUUGGUGAGUUGAUUACAGGGGUGCCUGAGCACAGAUUGUGGGAAGUCUUGGUGUGACUCGGUAUGCCAUAAAUCAAACAGCAGACGGUAACUUUCCUGGCUUGGCUAUACUUGGCUACACUUAUUACAAAGAAAACAACUAAAGGUGACGAAGGAAGCAUACUGUUGAACAUGG